AUUGAACGCUGGCGGCAUGCCUUACACAUGCAAGUCGAACGGCAGCACGGGUGCUUGCACCUGGUGGCGAGUGGCGAACGGGUGAGUAAUACAUCUGAACAUGUCCUGUAGUGGGGGAUAGCCCGGCGAAAGCCGGAUUAAUACCGCAUACGAUCCACGGAUGAAAGCGGGGGACCUUCGGGCCUCGCGCUAUAGGGUUGGCCGAUGGCUGAUUAGCUAGUUGGUGGGGUAAAGGCCUACCAAGGCGACGAUCAGUAGCUGGUCUGAGAGGACGACCAGCCACACUGGGACUGAGACACGGCCCAGACUCCUACGGGAGGCAGCAGUGGGGAAUUUUGGACAAUGGGCGAAAGCCUGAUCCAGCAAUGCCGCGUGUGUGAAGAAGGCCUUCGGGUUGUAAAGCACUUUUGUCCGGAAAGAAAUCCUUGACUCUAAUACAGUCGGGGGAUGACGGUACCGGAAGAAUAAGCACCGGCUAACUACGUG
rnacentral:rRNA from 1 species